AUCUGUCAUCUAUCAGCCGGUCGUCAGUGCACAUUUGAUCUUUGCUGUUCUAUUUUUCAAGAAAUUUCAAAAUGGCAGGACACGAAGACCCACCAGAAGCAGCAAACCUGAAGGGCUUCAGCAAAUAUUUUAACAGUCUUACCACCAGAGGAAGGGCAAACGUCACUAUUGCGACAUAUACUGGCUGUGCCCUUUUAGGGCUCUAUUUUUACUUGAAACCCAAGAAGGAGGAACCUGCAGUUAAAUAGUUAUAUAACAAUGUAGAUUUUUUUCUUAAAAUUAUACCUAUAUGUUAAUAAAAUACCUGUGUAAGUACUAAAGUA